CUACGGGGCGCUGCAGUGAGGAAUAUUGCACAAUGGGGGCAACCCUGAUGCAGCAACGCCGCGUGGAGGAUGACGCAUUUCGGUGUGUAAACUCCUUUUAUAUGUCAAGAAAAUGACGGUAGCAUAUGAAUAAGCACCGGCUAACUCCGUGCCAGCAGCCGCGGUAAUACGGAGGGUGCAAGCGUUACUCGGAAUCACUGGGCGUAAAGGACGCGUAGGCGGGUUGGAAAGUCAGGUGUGAAAUCCUACAGCUUAACUGUAGAACUGCACUUGAAACUUCUAAUCUAGAGUAUGGGAGGGGGAGAUGGAAUUAGUGGUGUAGGGGUAAAAUCCGUGGAUAUCACUAGGAAUACCUAAAGCGAAGGCGAUCUCCUGGAACAUUACUGACGCUAAGGCGUGAAAGCGUGGGGAGCAAACAGGAUUAGAUACCCCUGUAGUC
rnacentral:rRNA from 1 species